UACGUAGGGUGCGAGCGUUAAUCGGAAUUACUGGGCGUAAAGCGUGCGCAGGCGGUUCGUUAAGUCAGAUGUGAAAGCCCCGGGCUCAACCUGGGAACUGCAUUUGAAACUGGCGGGCUUGAGUAUGGCAGAGGGGGGUGGAAUUCCGCGUGUAGCAGUGAAAUGCGUAGAUAUCUGGAGGAACACCGGUGGCGAAGGCGGCAUCCUGGACCGACACUGACGCUGAGGAGCGAAAGCCAGGGGAGCAAACGGG
rnacentral:rRNA from 1 species